GCGUGCUUAACACAUGCAAGUCGAACGAGAACGGAACUAGCUUGCUAGUUUGUCAGCUAAGUGGCGCACGGGUGAGUAAUAUAUAGUUAACCUGCCUUCAAGAAGGGAAUAAUUGUUGGAAACGACUUGUAAGACCCUAUAUGCCUUUAUCACAUAAGUGAGCAAGGGAAAUAUUUAUAGCUUGAAGAUGGGACUGUACGGUAUCAGAUUGUUGGUGAGGUAAUGGCUCACCAAGUCUAUGACGCCUAACUGGUUUGAGAGGAUGAUCAGUCACACUGGAACUGAGACACGGUCCAGACUCCUACGGGAGGCAGCAGUGGGGAAUAUUGCACAAUGGACGAAAGUCUGAUGCAGCAACGCCGCGUGGAGGAUGACACAUUUCGGUGCGUAAACUCCUUUUAUAUAAGAAGAUAAUGACGGUAUUAUAUGAAUAAGCACCGGCUAACUCCGUGCCAGCAGCCGCGGUAAUACGGGGGGUGCAAGCGUUACUCGGAAUCACUGGGCGUAAAGAGCAUGUAGGCGGGUAUUUAAGUUGGAAGUGAAAUCCUAUGGCUUAACCAUAGAACUGCUUCCAAAACUGAAUACCUAGAGUAUGGGAGAGGUAGAUGGAAUUUCUGGUGUAGGGGUAAAAUCCGUAGAGAUCAGAAGGAAUACCGAUUGCGAAGGCGAUCUACUGGAACAUUACUGACGCU
rnacentral:rRNA from 1 species